rnacentral:rRNA from 1 species
UGGGGAAUUUUGCACAAUGGGGGAAACCCUGAUGCAGCGACGCCGCGUGAUUUAGAAGGCCUUCGGGUUGUAAAAAUCUUUUGUAUGGGAAGAAAAUGACAGUACCAUACGAAUAAGGACCGGCUAAUUACGUGCCAGCAGCCGCGGUAAUACGUAGGGGGCAAGCGUUAUCCGGAUUCAUUGGGCGUAAAGCGCGCGUAGGCGGUUUGUUAGGUCAGGAGUUAAAUCUGGGGGCUCAACCCCUAUCCGCUCCUGAUACCGGCAGGCUUGAGUCUGGUAGGGGAAGGCGGAAUUCCAAGUGUAGCGGUGAAAUGCGCAGAUAUUUGGAAGAACACCGGUGGCGAAGGCGGCCUUCUGGGCCACGACUGACGCUGAGGCGCGAAAGCUAGGGGAGCGAACAGG